CUUAUAUUCUGUAGCAAGGUUAACCGUAUAGGGGAGCCGGAGGGAAACCGAGUCUUAAUUGGGCGUUAAGUUGCAGGGUAUAGACCCGAAACCCGGUGAUCUAGCCAUGGGCAGGUUGAAGGUUGGGUAACACUAACUGGAGGACCGAACCGACUAAUGUUGAAAAAUUAGCGGAUGACCUGUGGCUGGGGGUGAAAGGCCAAUCAAACCGGGAGAUAGCUGGUUCUCCCCGAAAGCUAUUUAGGUAGCGCCUCGUGAAUUCAUCUCCGGGGGUAGAGCACUGUUUCGGCUAGGGGGCCAUCCCGGCUUACCAACCCGAUGCAAACUGCGAAUACCGGAGAAUGUUAUCACGGGAGACACACGGCGGGUGCUAACGUCCGUCGUGAAGAGGGAAACAACCCAGACCGCCAGCUAAGGUCCCAAAGUCAUGGUUAAGUGGGAAACGAUGUGGGAAGGCCCAGACAGCCAGGAUGUUGGCUUAGAAGCAGCCAUCAUUUAAAGAAAGCGUAAUAGCUCACUGGUCGAGUCGGCCUGCGCGGAAGAUGUAACGGGGCUAAACCAUGCACCGAAGCUGCGGCAGCGAACGUAUCACCCAAGACAACUUUACGGAGUUGAAGAUUGACCGAGCGAAGCGACGUCAAAGCGUUCAUUAAAGUAGAGUUCGCUUAGGGAAACGUUCCUAGGGUAGGGG
rnacentral:rRNA from 1 species